UUUUGGGACAGUGACGUUCUGAUCCCUGAGUUCAUCACCCUGGGCAAGCCACUUAAUCACCUUCCUAUCUGAUAGGAGAUGAUCCUAAGAAGUUCUCCUACCUGCCCAUAGAUGAUGCUCCAUUAAGUCCAGCCAAGAUGUCAGGUUUGAGUUAAUAGAAGGGGAGAAAAUCCAAUGGUAAGCCUCUGACAUUUUCAGAUGCCCCCUGUGCCUCCUACUGUGUGCUACAGAGAAGCCAUUGCCACAGUGGACAGGAGGCCUGCAGCCCCACACAGGAGCAGCAGAGGGAAACCCACCAUUGAUACCAGGAGCAAAGUAGAGAUGCAUGUGUCAGAUAAUUUAUACAGGAUUACGUCCUAGGACCCACAGAACCUUGGUGUCACCACGCUGGUAAGAAACUGAGGCUCAGACUGAUGAAGCCACUUGCUUAAUAAAUUACACAGCUACCAACAAAGCAGAGCCAGGAUUUGAACUCUCUCCAAAGCCCAUGUGCUAAUCACUACUCUGCUCAUACCUACAGAACAUUCCCCCUUGGUUUUAGAUUGUUCAAUCCUGAUGAGUGUUUGGUAACCAUCAGCCCCUGACUGUAUUCCCACCUCUCAGCCUCAGAAACAAGCAGAGACGUGCCCACCCAGCCCCCGGCCCUGGAGAUGCUGAGAAAAUCACACAUUUCAGCUCAGUCAGGCCAAAGUCAUGGCUCAGAUCCAGGCCUGCAGCUUCAAGUUCAGAAAGGGUAAAAUCACUGCCUCACCAGAAGCCAGAGGCUCCCGCUCUUUUUCCUGGACACAGAUGGCCUCCCAGUCCUGGAGCAAGUUCCAAGGAACAAUCUGCUUUCCAUCACAAAAGCAACAACAGCAAAAAAAAAAAAAAAAAAAAAA